UACGUAGGGUGCAAGCGUUAAUCGGAAUUACUGGGCGUAAAGCGUGCGCAGGCGGCUUUGCAAGACAGAUGUGAAAUCCCCGGGCUCAACCUGGGAACUGCAUUUGUGACUGCAAGGCUAGAGUACGGUAGAGGGGGAUGGAAUUCCGCGUGUAGCAGUGAAAUGCGUAGAUAUGCGGAGGAACACCGAUGGCGAAGGCAAUCCCCUGGACCUGUACUGACGCUCAUGCACGAAAACGUGGGGAGCAAACAGG
rnacentral:rRNA from 1 species